rnacentral:rRNA from 1 species
UUUUGGACAAUGGGGGAAACCCUGAUCCAGCAAUGCCGCGUGAGUGAAGAAGGCCUUCGGGUUGUAAGGCUCUUUUGUCAGGGAAGAAACACCGGCUCUAACACAGUCCGGGAAUGACGGUACCUGAAGAAUAAGCACCGGCUAACUACGUGCCAGCAGCCGCGGUAAUACGUAGGGUGCAAGCGUUAAUCGGAAUUACUGGGCGUAAAGCGUGCGCAGGCGGUUAUAUAAGACAGUUGUGAAAUCCCCGGGCUCAACCUGGGAAUUGCAUCUGUGACUGUAUAGCUAGAGUACGGUAGAGGGGGAUGGAAUUCCGCGUGUAGCAGUGAAAUGCGUAGAUAUGCGGAGGAACACCGAUGGCGAAGGCAAUCCCCUGGACCUGUACUGACGCUCAUGCACGAA